UCAUGUCACUUCAUCUAAAAAGUUACCACUUUUUACAUGUCAGUUCAUUUAAAAAGUUACCACUUUUCACAUGCCACUUCACCAAAAAGUUGCCACUUUCUAUGAUGUCACUUCAUUUAAAAGUUGUCACUUUUAACAUGUCAUUUUAUCUAAAAGUUACUGCUUUUUAUUAUGUCAUUUUAUCUAAAAGUUACAACUUUUCAUUAUACCACUUCAUUUAAAAGGUCUAAC
rnacentral:lncRNA from 1 species